rnacentral:rRNA from 1 species
UACAGAGGGGGCAAGCGUUAUUCGGAAUUAUUGGGCGUAAAGGGCGCGUAGGCGGCCUGACAAGUGGAAGGUGAAAUCCCUCGGCUUAACCGAGGAACUGCCCUCCAAACUGUUUGGCUUGAGACCGGGAGAGGUGAGUGGAAUUCCCAGUGUAGCGGUGAAAUGCGUAGAUAUUGGGAGGAACACCAGUGGCGAAGGCGGCUCACUGGACCGGUACUGACGCUGAGGCGCGAAAGCGUGGGGAGCAAACAGG